AAAACUACUCGAAAUGGGAAUUUGACUGCUGGAAUUUCAAAAAAAUCAAACUAGUAGGCUUUGGUUAAUCCUUCAAAAAAUUUUACACGACAACCAAACAAAAUAACUUUUUUUUUGUCUCGGUUGGUGAUAUUCGUUUUUGUAUCGGAUUUUUGCCAACAUCAUAGUAAAUCGAAGCGAAGUUUCGUUUCGAUUUCGGUAGAUUGAAACUGACGAUAGGUGCGGAUUUCGUUUCGUGCUGAUCCAAUAAAUUGUUCCGUUCUGGCGGAUUCCUUCAUGGAAAGCAGAAGCAGAAGCAAUGGGAUCGUGAGAACACAACAAGUCAAGAAGUAGCAGCACAUAGUUGAACAAAAUCCCGUUUCGGAUAAGUUCUGAAUCAAAGAAGCAAAGCCGGAAGUGGCCCGUCCGAAUCAAAGUAGCAAACGGAGCGCUGGCAUCUGUAGUUUCGAUAUCACCCUGAUUGGAUGUUCCCAAGACGGAUCUUUGCCCGUUUAAAUCGAAACAGGCGUUCUACGGCUCGCAAACCUACAACGUGCGAGACCCGCUGGUUCUGCUGUUCCAGAUGCGACCCUUAUUGGUGAACGAAAUAUAGAAAGCAUACCCUGGAAGUGUUAUAGAGUUAUCUACGUGCGCAUGUAUUGCGUGUACGUACACGAAAAUGAUUGAGGUUAAAUUUUGUACCCGCCAGCAAAAACAAAUGGCGUGCUAGUGUGCGUGAGAUCGGGCUUAGAUAACUCUAUAAGGGCAGUGCAAGGACCUGUUGUUACGGAAUGGCGGCCAGCUUUUAUUUGAUUGGUUUACUCCGUUCCAGUUAAGUUGAUGUCGACGCAUGUUCUUUUAAAAUUCUAUAAUAAAAGAUG